CUGGUUGAAGCGCUCGAACUGACGCUCCAAGGGGUCCUGCUUGUUGGAGAAGACGUUGCCCUGAAGCGCCGUCUCGUGCUGGCAGUACUCGGCUCGGACUCGCAGGCGGAUGUCUGAGGGAAGCGGGGAAGAGCGCGCGGCGGCACGUCCCUCGGCCGUUUCUCCUGCCAGUCCUCUUGGAAAAACCCCCUCGAUUCGGGAGCCGAGCCCUCCCGGCGCGGUGUGGGAAAGGCCGUUUCCAGCGGUUACCACAGACACUCCCAACGCCCCGACGCAGAGCGGAUCGGCGACGUCGCGCACGCGCAAUCCCACGGGAGAAACCCCGGCCAAGGCGAUCGCCGCGCUGCACGGCACCGGGUCGUACGUACCUGGCGAUUGCUCAUACCAGCCCCGGGUUCGUCCUACCCGAGCUGUGUGGGUCUGAGCAAAGGUCUGGGGCAGCCACCGCCGCUCCUCCUCCUCCUCCUCCUCGGCAGAGCGGAGCUGGCGGCAGCUCCGGGCCCCUGGGACGGACCCAGCUGCUUGAAAUGCUUUAGGACAAACCGGCGUACGCCCAAAACGUUAAGCCUACGUGAUUUCCCCGGCUUUAGCAAACCAAACCUGUGUGCUGGCAGGACACGGGGGUUUGAGGAGAGUCAAGCUGCUUGAGCAGAAGCAGCCGCUGAGCAAAGAUUAUGGGGAGAAACGAGUUGUUUUUGAGGGCCGGGAUGUUUUCUGCAGGUUGUUUUUGUGCUGUUGGGUGAGCUCAGAUCCCUCCCAUCCCCGCCGGACCGAAGCCGGCCAAGGCCGCGAGCAUCCCUGGCUCCCUCCACCUUCGCCCGGCCGGCUCCGGCUGCGCCGAGCUAAUUCGGGACAGGGCUUCGGCUCCUUUUCAGAGCCGUGCAUACGCAUGAGGCAGGAGGAGACAAGACCUUCUGGCUGCUGCAGGGUCUGGAAGGAUGCAGGAACCAGAAGCGAGCCUCAGCUCGUUAAAUCCAGAGGAGACUUCCUUUAUCCGAUCAAUCCCUCCUCUCUAAGUGCAAAGCGCUGCGCGUUAUAAACCACAUGUAAGGUGCCUUUCUUAAUAAAGCUUUUUUUAAAUGCUA